ACAGAGUAUGAGAGUAAAUUCUUGUAAUGCAAAUCUGGCCAGACUGGUGAUGAGUUAUACAGCUGAAGCACGUAACCAGGGUUACAAGCACAUGAGAAUUAACAAAUCAAACAUGUUAUUCAGUUUUUUCAGCUUCUAUCUGUUUGCUUGAUCUCGUGUGAAUAUCUGCGUCUCAUUUUGGUCUGUGUGGUUUGCAGUUUGGCUGCUCUCUGCUGCUGCUGCGUGUUGGAGGAAUGCUGCGGCUGCUUCUGAGGUGUUAGAUAUCCGCUAAUUGGAUCCUAUAGCGUUCUGGGGCAUCCGAGUAUUAAGAUAUAGUAACUGUGCUUGUAAAGAAUCUGGAGCAGUGUGUUCUUGAGCUUCCAGUCCAGCAUUAUUCUAUUGUCAAACAGACCAUAUAUAGUUUGUAGUAUGUGUUAUGCCUUAUUAUCCGAAAAAUAAAGAAUGUUAUUAUUCAUGGUAUU
rnacentral:lncRNA from 1 species